CUUGACAAACCUAUAAGAGGUCCAGCCUGCCCAGUGACUCUGUUCAACGGCCGCGGUAUCCUAACCGUGCGAAGGUAGCGUAAUCACUUGUUCUUUAAAUGAGGACUAGUAUGAAUGGCACCACGAAGGUUAUACUGUCUCCUUUUUCUAAUCAGUGAAACUAAUCUUCCCGUGAAGAAACGGGAAUAAAAAUAUAAGACGAGAAGACCCUAUGGAGCUUUAAACAAAUAUACACCUGCCUCUUUACCAAAAAUUUCAGAAGACAAGUAAUUACCCGGGCAUUUUGAUAUAGCGUUUUAGGUUGGGGUGACCGCGGAGCAAAAAAUAACCUCCGCAGCGAACGGGAGUAUUCCCUAAACCAAGGACCACAAUCCUAAGUAUUAAUAAAUUAACACUAAUUGACCCAAUAAAUUUGAUCAAUGAAC
rnacentral:rRNA from 1 species